rnacentral:rRNA from 1 species
AGCAGCCGCGGUAAUUCCAGCUCCAAUAGCGUAUAUUAAAGUUGUUGCAGUUAGAACGCUCGUAGUCGGAUUUCGGGGCAGUCCGACCGGUCUGCCGAUGGGUAUGCACUGGCCGGAGUGUCCUUUUUGCCGGAGACCGUGCCUACUCUUAACUGAGCGGGGGCGGGAGACGGCACUUUUACUUUGAAAAAAUCAGAGUGUUUCAAGCAGGCAGCUCGCUCUUGCAUGGAUUAGCAUGGGAUAAUGAAAUAGGACUUUGGUGCUAUUUUGUUGGUUUCGAACACCGAAGUAAUGAUGAGAAGGGACAGUCAGGGGCACUCGUAUUCCGCAGAGAGAGGUGAAAUUCUCAGACCCGCGGAAGACGAACCACUGCGAAAGCAUUUGCCAGGGAUGUUUUCACUGAUCAAGAACGAAAGUUAGGGGAUCGAAGAUGAUCAGAUACCGUCGUAGUCUUAACCAUAAACCAUGCCGACUAGGGAUUGGAGGAUGUUCACUGAUUGACUCCUUCAGCACCUUACGGGAAACUAAAGUCUUUGGGUUCCGGGGGGAGUAUGGUCGCAAGGCUGAAACUUAAAGGAAUUGACGGAAGGGCACCACCAGGUGUGGAGCCUGCGGCUUAAUUUGACUCAACACGGGGAAACUUACCAGGUCCAGACAUUGUGAGGAUUGACAGAUUGAGAGCUCUUUCUUGAUUCGAUGGGUGGUGGUGCAUGGCCGUUCUUAGUUGGUGGAGUGAUUUGUCUGGUUAAUUCCGUUAACGAACGAGACCUUAGCCUGCUAAAUAGUGACGCGAACUCUUUGUUGGCGGGCCACUUCUUAGAGGGACAACUUGUCUUCAACAAGUGGAAGUUUGAGGCAAUAACAGGUCUGUGAUG